rnacentral:rRNA from 2 species
CUCGCACCUUGACGGUACCUAACCAGAAAGCCACGGCUAACUACGUGCCAGCAGCCGCGGUAAUACGUAGGUGGCAAGCGUUGUCCGGAAUUAUUGGGCGUAAAGGGCUCGCAGGCGGUUUCUUAAGUCUGAUGUGAAAGCCCCCCGCUCCACCCGGGGGAGGGGUCAUUGGAAACUGGGAAACUUGAGUGCAGAAGAGGAGAGUGGAAUUCCACGUGUAGCGGUGAAAUGCGUAGAGAUGUGGAGGAACACCAGUGGCGAAGGCGACUCUCUGGUCUGUAACUGACGCUGAGGAGCGAAAGCGUGGGGAGCGAACAGGAUUAGAUACCCUGGUAGUCCACGCCGUAAACGAUGAGUGCUAAGUGUUAGGGGGUUUCCGCCCCUUAGUGCUGCAGCUAACGCAUUAAGCACUCCGCCUGGGGGAGUACGGUCGCAAGACUGAAACUCAAAGGAAUUGACGGGGGCCCCGCACAAGCGGUGGAGCAUGUGGUUUAAUUCGAAGCAACGCGAAGAACCUUACCAGGUCUUGACAUCCUCUGACAACCCUAGAGAU